rnacentral:tRNA from 1 species
AGGUGUAUAGCUCAGUGGUAGAGUGUGUGCUUAGCAUGCAUGAGGUCCUGGGUUCAAUCCCUAGUACCUCCA